rnacentral:rRNA from 1 species
GAUCAUGGCUCAGGACGAACGCUGGCGGCGUGCCUAACAAAUGCAAGUCGAACGAAGCUUGACGAAUGAUUUCUCCGGAAUGAAAUCUGAUAUGACUGAGUGGCGGACGGGUGAGUAACGCGUGAGCAACCUGCCCUUCGAAACGGGAUAGUGUCUGGAAACGGACAGUAAUACCGUAUAACGUAUUUUUACCGCAUGAUAGAAAUACCAAAACUGAGGUGCCGAAGGAUGGGCUCGCGU